CCAAAGGCUCUUUUCAGAGCCAUUAACAAAAUAACUAUAAUCACUG
rnacentral:ncRNA from 1 species